rnacentral:rRNA from 1 species
GACGAACGCUGGCGGCGUGCCUAAUACAUGCAAGUCGAGCGGACAGAAGGGAGCUUGCUCCCGGAAGUUAGCGGCGGACGGGUGAGUAACACGUGGGCAACCUACCCUGUAGAUCGGGAUAACAUCGAGAAAUCGGUGCUAACACCGGAUAAUCAUUUGAAGUGCAUGCUUCGAAUGUAAAAGAUGGCUCCGGCUAUCACUACGGGAUGGGCCCGCGGCGCAUUAGCUAGUUGGUAAGGUAAUGGCUUACCAAGGCAACGAUGCGUAGCCGACCUGAGAGGGUGAUCGGCCACACUGGGACUGAGACACGGCCCAGACUCCUAUGGGAGGCAGCAGUAGGGAAUCUUCCGCAAUGGACGAAAGUCUGACGGAGCAACGCCGCGUGAGUGAUGAAGGUUUUCGGAUCGUAAAGCUCUGUUGUUAGGGAAGAACAAGUGCCGUUUGAAUAAGGCGGCACCUUGACGGUACCUAACCAGAAAGCCACGGCUAACUACGUGCCAGCCGCCGCCGUAAGAC